CACCCAUUAGAUAGAAGAACUCCCUAGUACAGACUAAAGAGUAGCUCUCAUUCACAGCCUCUCUCCUCCAAUCAAUCUACAGUUGAUAAGGUGAGAGAGAAAGAAGAAAAGGAACUUUGGUGGUCUCUAUUAGGGUUGCGAUUUCAAGGGUUGGCUAUGUCUCCUCAAUCAUCAGGUUUGAUUCUUGCAAAGGGAGAAGCUAAUUGGAAUGAGCGGUGUCGGUAAAGAGUUGGUGGGCCAAUGAACCUGCGUGCUUAUCAUGCUAGGGUGCUGUACCCUCCUCCGCCAUGGUAGAUGUAGUUAGGGUGAUGUACCCUCACCCCCUCCCCUGAUAUAUACAUUCUGAUAUAUACAUUACUCUACGGUCUGUACCAUAUAUAUACAGGGUGUGAUUGAGAUCUGAUAUAUACAUUGUUAUGGGUUGUUUUUCUUUACUAAAAUUUGAUAUAAAAUUUUGAUCUGAGAUAGAGAUUUGAUA